rnacentral:rRNA from 1 species
AUGCAAGUCGAGCGGAAAGGCCCUUCGGGGUACUCGAGCGGCGAACGGGUGAGUAACACGUGAGUAACCUGCCCCUGACUCUGGGAUAAGCCUGGGAAACUGGGUCUAAUACCGGAUAUGACCAUUUCGGGCAUCCGAUGGUGGUGGAAAGUUUUUUCGGUUGGGGAUGGACUCGCGGCCUAUCAGCUUGUUGGUGGGGUAGUGGCCUACCAAGGCGACGACGGGUAGCCGGCCUGAGAGGGCGACCGGCCACACUGGGACUGAGACACGGCCCAGACUCCUACGGGAGGCAGCAGUGGGGAAUAUUGCGCAAUGGGCGGAAGCCUGACGCAGCGACGCCGCGUGGGGGAUGACGGCCUUCGGGUUGUAAACCUCUUUCAGCAGGGACGAAGUUGACGUGUACCUGUAGAAGAAGCGCCGGCUAACUACGUGCCAGCAGCCGCGGUAAUACGUAGGGCGCAAGCGUUGUCCGGAAUUAUUGGGCGUAAAGAGCUCGUAGGUGGCUUGUCGCGUCUGCCGUGAAAGCUUAGGGCUUAACCCUAGGUCUGCGGUGGAUACGGGCAGGCUAGAGGCUGGUAGGGGCAAGCGGAAUUCCUGGUGUA